UUGUAAAUCACUCUCUUCAUCAAUUAAUCUAGAAAACCCUUCUCAAGAGUACUCAGCCCUUUUGCUCCUUUUGUCAAGGGUGUGUAUGCCUCUUUGAUCUACGAUUUAGCUGGAAGAGAGAGGGAGAUGAUGGCUUCGUCGUUGCGGAUUAACAUUCAAGCUUUACCACUGGUAAUAGUGAACAUAUUCGAGCACUACACGAGGGUCAAGUCCCAGUCCCACCCGCCUCACGCCGCCCCUGACGGCGGUGACGAAACACCGGCGCCUCCAUCUUCACUGAGAGGGGACACAUGGUCGAGAUCUUCAAUAGCUUCGAGCUUCUCCACGGUCCUUCCUCCCAUUCCGGUGACCAAACCUUCCUCUUGAAGAAGCAAGAACUCUGUCGGUAAAUGCAUUGUUAUGUUCCUUAGAUAUUGAUAAUGAUAUUCGGGCUAAGGGGCCUCUACCUGGGAGAUUCCGUGAGAUGGAGGAAUACUGGAACGAGUCCCAAGGCAUGCUUAAACCGGCUCAUCUUACAGAUGGAUGGGUUGCUGAAUAUACACAAGCCAGAGUGGAACAUGGUGACCCUAAUUCUUGGGCCCAGUCGUUUGAACAGCAAUGCGGCGUUAAUGGUUGGUCUUCUGUAUUUAAGCAUGAACAAUCUCAGUUGACAUCGGUAGAUAGAAUGAGAGGUGCAAAUAUUUCAAACUUAGCUGCUAUGGAGUAGACUCGUAUGCUGGCGCACACAUUAUCUCAAAAUGAUGUAAAUUAGAUAGUCAAGUCAAACCAGCUGCAUUACCUGCAGUUGGGGAUUGGGCAGCAGAAUAUCAACAACAAUAUGAUGGAGGUCAUACAUAGGCUGACCAGUUUGUGCAUAAUGAGGCAAGUAAGCUUGGUGUACAUAUUUAGUUCUUUUUGAUAAGUUUAUUGACUUCUUGUUGUUAAUUACAAAGUUCAGUGAUACUGCUUUCUCACUUAAUGCCAAAGCAUACAUCUUGGUCCAAAGCCAUGUUUUUUUAGUAAUAAGGUUGUCAAUCCUCAUGAUUGACGAGUGCAUCCAUCCCCAUUCUAUGGGAUAAUUUUUUGGUGUUAGAUUUCAGGGCACGUUUUAUGGCAAGAGUUAGGAGCAAUUUCAUGUUCUUGUUUAGGUCUUUGAGUAGUAUGCAAUUAAGAAAGCUUGAGCUUUGGUUUCCUUUUUAUUUUCUAGGGUUUUAUUUCCCCUUUCAUUGGCUGGUUCUAAGGUUUAAUGUAUUGAAUCUACACUCUUGAUUUUGCCUUUUUUAUUGAGACUUUUCUAACCUAAUUUAUGCACCAUGUUAAUGUAUGUUGCCCUGAUGCGGAGAUGAUGGAGGACGACUUGUCUGUACAGAGAGAUUAAGAACCAAAGAUAUAACACAUAGAGUAGAACCGAAGUAUUAUUGGCAGGGGAAGGAGGCACUGGUGGAUCACUUUGAGAAGUCUACGUUUCGGUGUGAUACAAAUGAGUUCCUGCCUGUGUGUUUUAGCCCAGCAAGGGAUGGUUCUGGUGGAGGUUUGAUAUCUGGGGUUACAUUGGCUGCCAAGUUUAUCAACCCUACUAUUUGAGUUUUGGCUGCUGAAUCAAUGGGAGCACCUACUUGCUUGGAUUUUGUACCGUGGAAAAUGAGGUGGUGUUUUUGACAAGUGUAGAUUGAAACUCAAUUGUUAGGAAAUUGAUUUUUUUUUUUUUUUUUUUUGCAAAUGGAUUUACUUCCUAUUUUGGCACAUUGAUCAAUCAUGAAUUCUUGAAUUGUAAAAAUAUUUUAAGUCUUUUGAUAUGUUUAAUGUGAUAUUUCAAGAUAUUGUUUUG